UCCCGUUUAGCUCAGCUGGUAGAGCGCGUCACUAGUAUUGCAAAUGACGAGGUCAGUCGUUCAAGUCGGCUAAUGGGAA